GACGAACGCUGGCGGCGUGCUUAACACAUGCAAGUCGAGCGGUAAGGCCCUUUCGGGGGUACACGAGCGGCGAACGGGUGAGUAACACGUGGGUGACCUGCCCUGCACUCUGGGAUAAGCCUGGGAAACUGGGUCUAAUACCGGAUAUUCACAUGGUCCUGCAUGGGGUUGUGUGGAAAGUUUUUUCGGUGUGGGAUGGGCCCGCGGCCUAUCAGCUUGUUGGUGGGGUGAUGGCCUACCAAGGCGA
rnacentral:rRNA from 1 species